GACGAACGCUGGCGGCGUGCUUAACACAUGCAAGUCGAACGAAGUGGCGAACGGGUGAGUAACGCGUAAUCAACCUGCCCUUCAGAGGGGGACAACAGUUGGACACGACUGCUAAUACCGCAUACUGAAGGAGGGGAAUGCGUCUGAGUAGCUAGUUGGCGGGGUAACGGCACACCAAGGCGAUGAUAAGUAGCCGGUCGUAGAGGAUGAACGGCUACAUUGGGACUGAGACACGGCCCAGACUCCUACGGGAGGCAGCAGUGGGGAAUCUGCCGCAAUGGACGAAAGUCUGACGGAGCAACGCCGCGUGAGUGAUGACGGCCUUCGGGUUGUAAAGCUCUGUUAAGCGGGACGCGGUACCGGAAUAGAAAGCCACGGCUAACUACGUGCCAGCAGCCGCGGUAAUUC
rnacentral:rRNA from 1 species